AUANUGCAGUCGAGCGGACAGANNGGAGCUUGCUCCCGGAUGUUAGCGGCGGACGGGUGAGUAACACGUGGGUAACCUGCCUGUAAGACUGGGAUAACUCCGGGAAACCGGAGCUAAUACCGGAUAGUUCCUUGAACCGCAUGGUUCAAGGAUGAAAGACGGUUUCGGCUGUCACUUACAGAUGGACCCGCGGCGCAUUAGCUAGUUGGUGGGGUAAUGGCUCACCAAGGCGACGAUGCGUAGCCGACCUGAGAGGGUGAUCGGCCACACUGGGACUGAGACACGGCCCAGACUCCUACGGGAGGCAGCAGUAGGGAAUCUUCCGCAAUGGACGAAAGUCUGACGGAGCAACGCCGCGUGAGUGAUGAAGGUUUUCGGAUCGUAAAGCUCUGUUGUUAGGGAAGAACAAGUGCGAGAGUAACUGCUCGCACCUUGACGGUACCUAACCAGAAAGCCACGGCUAACUACGUGCCAGCAGCCGCGGUAAUACGUAGGUGGCAAGCGUUGUCCGGAAUUAUUGGGCGUAAAGGGCUCGCAGGCGGUUUCUUAAGUCUGAUGUGAAAGCCCCCGGCUCAACCGGGGAGGGUCAUUGGAAACUGGGAAACUUGAGUGCAGAAGAGGAGAGUGGAAUUCCACGUGUAGCGUNAA
rnacentral:rRNA from 1 species